AUUGAACGCUGGCGGCAUGCUUUACACAUGCAAGUCGAACGGCAGCACAGGGAGCUUGCUCCUGGGUGGCGAGUGGCGAACGGGUGAGUAAUGUAUCGGAACGUGCCUGGUAGUGGGGGAUAACUACUCGAAAGAGUGGCUAAUACCGCAUGAGAUCUUUGGAUGAAAGCGGGGGACCUUCGGGCCUCGUGCUACUGGAGCGGCCGAUAUCAGAUUAGGUUGUUGGUGGGGUAAAGGCCUACCAAGCCUGCGAUCUGUAGCUGGUCUGAGAGGACGACCAGCCACACUGGGACUGAGACACGGCCCAGACUCCUACGGGAGGCAGCAGUGGGGAAUUUUGGACAAUGGGCGCAAGCCUGAUCCAGCAAUGCCGCGUGCAGGACGAAGGCCUUCGGGUUGUAAACUGCUUCUGUACAGAACGAAAAGUCUCUGGCUAAUAUCUAGAGAUCAUGACGGUACUGUAAGAAUAAGCACCGGCUAACUACGUG
rnacentral:rRNA from 1 species